GAGUAACACGUGACUAACCUACCUUCGAAUGGGGGAUAACUCCGGGAAACCGGGGCUAAUACCGCAUAAGAUCCUGGAGCUGAAAUGCUCAGGGACCAAAGGAGCAAUUCGCUUGAAGAGGGGGUCGCGGCUGAUUAGCUAGUUGGCGGGGUAACGGCCCACCAAGGCGGUGAUCAGUAGCCGGCCUGAGAGGGCGCACGGCCACACUGGAACUGAAACACGGUCCAGACUCCUACGGGAGGCAGCAGUGGGGAAUUUUGCACAAUGGGGGAAACCCUGAUGCAGCAACGCCGCGUGGAGGAUGAAGCCCCUUGGGGCGUAAACUCCUUUCGAUCGGGACGAUAAUGACGGUACCGGAAGAAGAAGCACCGGCUAACUCUGUGCCAGCAGCCGCGGUAAUACAGAGGGUGCAAGCGUUGUUCGGAAUUAUUGGGCGUAAAGGGCGCGUAGGCGGUGCGGUAAGUAUGCUGUGAAAUCUCUGGGCUCAACUCAGAGCUGGCAGCGUAGACUGCCGUGCUGGAGUGUGGGAGAGGUGCGUGGAAUUCCCGGUGUAGCGGUGAAAUGC
rnacentral:rRNA from 1 species